ACUUGAGUAGUUUAAUUAAAAUGUUGAUUUGUGGGGUCAGUGAUGUACUUUUUACCUCAGGUU
rnacentral:tRNA from 1 species